rnacentral:misc_RNA from 1 species
UACGUAGGUGGCAAGCGUUGUCCGGCAUUAUUGGGCGUAAAGCGCGCGCCGGCGGCCUCUUAAGUCUGAUGUGAAAGCCCCCGGCUCAACCGGGGAGGGCCAUUGGAAACUGGGAGGCUUGAGUAAAGUAGAGAAGAGUGGAAUUCCACGUGUAGCGGUGAAAUGCGUAGAGAUGUGGAGGAACACCAGUGGCGAAGGCGACUCUUUGGCCUAUAACUGACGCUGAUGUGCGAAUGCGUGGGGAUCAAACAGG